rnacentral:rRNA from 1 species
UACGAAGGGGGGCUAGCGUUGUUCAGAAUUACUGGGCGUAAAGCGUGCGCAGGCGGCUUCUCAAGUCAGGGGUGAAAGCCCAGAGCUCAACUCUGGAAUUGCCUUUGAGACUGAGUGGCUUGAGUACGAGAGAGGUGAGUGGAAUUCCCAGUGUAGAGGUGAAAUUCGUAGAUAUUGGGAAGAACACCGGUGGCGAAGGCGGCUCACUGGCUCGUAACUGACGCUCAUGCACGACAGCGUGGGGAUCAAACAGG